rnacentral:rRNA from 1 species
UACAGAGGUCUCAAGCGUUGUUCGGAUUCAUUGGGCGUAAAGGGUGCGUAGGCGGCGCAGUAAGUCGGGUGUGAAAUCUCGGAGCUUAACUCCGAAACUGCAUUCGAUACUGCCGUGCUUGAGGACUGGAGAGGAGACUGGAAUUUACGGUGUAGCGGUGAAAUGCGUAGAUAUCGUAAGGAAGACCAGUGGCGAAGGCGAGUCUCUGGACAUUUCCUGACGCUGAGGCACGAAAGCCAGGGGAGCAAACGGG